rnacentral:rRNA from 1 species
GGCGCACGGGUGAGUAACAUGUGGGAAUCUACCUAAAGGUUCGGAAUAACUGCGGGAAACUGUAGCUAAUACCGGAUGUGUCCGUAAGGAGAAAGAUUUAUUGCCUUUAGAUGAGCCCGCACUAGAUUAGUUUGUUGGUGAGGUAACUGCUCCACCAAGACUACGAUCUAUAGCUGAUUUGAGAGGAUGAUCAGCCACACUGGGACUGAGACACGGCCCAGACUCCUACGGGAGGCAGCAGUGGGGAAUAUUGGACAAUGGGGGAAACCCUGAUCCAGCAAUGCCGCGUGAGUGAAGAAGGCCUUCGGGUUGUAAAACUCUUUCAUCAAUGAAGAUAAUGACAUUAAUUGAAGAAGAAGCUCCGGCUAACUCCGUGCCAGCAGCCGCGGUAAUACGGAGGGGGCUAGCGUUGUUCGGAAUUACUGGGCGUAAAGCGUAUGUAGGCGGAUCAAAAAGUUAGAUGUGAAAUCCCUGAGCUUAACUUAGGAACUGCAUUUAAAACUAGUGAUCUAGAAUUUGGUAGAGGUUAGUAGAAUUUCCAGUGUAGAGGUGAAAUUCGUAGAUAUUGGAAAGAAUACCAGUGGCGAAGGCGACUAACUGGGCCAUUUUUGACGCUAAGAUACGAAAGCGUGGGUAGCAAACAGGAUUAGAUACCCUGGUAGUCCACGCAGUAAACGAUGAGUGCUAGUCGCUGGGUCAAUAGAUUCGGUGUCGAAGCUAACGCAUUAAGCACUCCGCCU